CCAAAUAUAGUGUGUACAGGUGUCUGGCGUCCCAUAUAGCCGUCAGACUUAAUAGGGAAGCAUGGUGCAAAUCCAUCACGGUCCCGCCACUGUAUAGGGAUUCAGAGCGCAUUUUUGCGAUUUUGAUAUGAAUUCGGCUUUAUGCCACUGAAGGCUAACAUGUUAGGCCUUUGGGAAGGCGCCGAACUCUAUACCCCAAGUCAGGAGACCUGCCUGUAUACAGCACGACAU
rnacentral:ncRNA from 2 species